GGUUAAGCGACUAAGCGUACACGGUGGAUGCCCUGGCAGUCAGAGGCGAUGAAGGACGUGCUAAUCUGCGAAAAGCGUCGGUAAGGUGAUAUGAACCGUUACAGCCGGCGAUGUCCGAAUGGGGAAACCCAGUGCAAUUCGUUGCACUAUCGUUAACUGAAUACAUAGGUUAACGAGGCGAACCGGGGGAACUGAAACAUCUAAGUACCCCGAGGAAAAGAAAUCAACCGAGAUUCCCCCAGUAGCGGCGAGCGAACGGGGAGCAGCCCGGAGUCUGAAUCAGCUUGUGUGUUAGUGGAAGCGUCUGGAAAGUCGCAGGGUACAGGGUGAUACUCCCGUACACUAAAACACACAGGCUGUGAACUCGAAGAGUAGGGCGGGACACGUGGUAUCCUGUCUGAAUAUGGGGGGACCAUCCUCCAAGGCUAAAUACUCCUGACUGACCGAUAGUGAACCAGUACCGUGAGGGAAAGGCGAAAAGAACCCCGGCGAGGGGAGUGAAAAAGAACCUGAAACCGUGUACGUACAAGCAGUAGGAGCCCACUAGUUGGGUGACUGCGUACCUUUUGUAUAAUGGGUCAGCGACUUAUAUUCUGUAGCAAGGUUAACCGUAUAGGGGAGCCGCAGGGAAACCGAGUCUUAACUGGGCGUUAAGUUGCAGGGUAUAGACCCGAAACCCGGUGAUCUAGCCAUGGGCAGGUUGAAGGUUGGGUAACACUAACUGGAGGACCGAACCGACUAAUGUUGAAAAAUUAGCGGAUGACUUGUGGCUGGGGGUGAAAGGCCAAUCAAACCGGGAGAUAGCUGGUUCUCCCCGAAAGCUAUUUAGGUAGCGCCUCGUGAACUCAUCUUCGGGGGUAGAGCACUGUUUCGGCUAGGGGGUCAUCCCGACUUACCAACCCGAUGCAAACUACGAAUACCGAAGAAUGUUAUCACGGGAGACACACGGCGGGUGCUAACGUCCGUCGUGAAGAGGGAAACAACCCAGACCGCCAGCUAAGGUCCCAAAGUCAUGGUUAAGUGGGAAACGAUGUGGGAAGGCCCAGACAGCCAGGAUGUUGGCUUAGAAGCAGCCAUCAUUUAAAGAAAGCGUAAUAGCUCACUGGUCGAGUCGGCCUGCGCGGAAGAUGUAACGGGGCUAAACCAUGCACCGAAGCUGCGGCAGCGACGCUUAUGCGUUGUUGGGUAGGGGAGCGUUCUGUAAGCCGUUGAAGGUGGCCUGUGAGGGUUGCUGGAGGUAUCAGAAGUGCGAAUGCUGACAUAAGUAACGAUAAUGCGGGUGAAAAACCCGCACGCCGGAAGACCAAGGGUUCCUGUCCAACGUUAAUCGGGGCAGGGUGAGUCGACCCCUAAGGCGAGGCCGAAAGGCGUAGUCGAUGGGAAACAGGUUAAUAUUCCUGUACUUGGUGUUACUGCGAAGGGGGGACGGAGAAGGCUAUGUUGGCCGGGCGACGGUUGUCCCGGUUUAAGCAUGUAGGCGGAUGUUCCAGGUAAAUCCGGAACGUUACUAACGCUGAGGUGUGAUGACGAGGCACUACGGUGCUGAAGUGACAAAUGCCCUGCUUCCAGGAAAAGCCUCUAAGCAUCAGGUAACAUCAAAUCGUACCCCAAACCGACACAGGUGGUCAGGUAGAGAAUACCAAGGCGCUUGAGAGAACUCGGGUGAAGGAACUAGGCAAAAUGGUGCCGUAACUUCGGGAGAAGGCACGCUGAUGGUAGGUGAAGUGACUUGCUCAUGGAGCUGAAAUCAGUCGAAGAUACCAGCUGGCUGCAACUGUUUAUUAAAAACACAGCACUGUGCAAACACGAAAGUGGACGUAUACGGUGUGACGCCUGCCCGGUGCCGGAAGGUUAAUUGAUGGGGUUAUCCUCACGGAGAAGCUCUUGAUCGAAGCCCCGGUAAACGGCGGCCGUAACUAUAACGGUCCUAAGGUAGCGAAAUUCCUUGUCGGGUAAGUUCCGACCUGCACGAAUGGCGUAAUGAUGGCCAGGCUGUCUCCACCCGAGACUCAGUGAAAUUGAACUCGCUGUGAAGAUGCAGUGUACCCGCGGCAAGACGGAAAGACCCCGUGAACCUUUACUAUAGCUUGACACUGAACACUGGUCCUUGAUGUGUAGGAUAGGUGGGAGGCUUUGAAGUGUGGACGCCAGUCUGCAUGGAGCCGUCCUUGAAAUACCACCCUUUAAUGGCUGGUGUUCUAACGUGGGCCCCUAAUCGGGGUUGCGGACAGUGUCUGGUGGGUAGUUUGACUGGGGCGGUCUCCUCCUAAAGAGUAACGGAGGAGCACGAAGGUCAGCUAAUCCUGGUCGGACAUCAGGAGGUUAGUGCAAUGGCAUAAGCUGGCUUGACUGCGAGCGUGACGGCGCGAGCAGGUGCGAAAGCAGGUCAUAGUGAUCCGGUGGUUCUGAAUGGAAGGGCCAUCGCUCAACGGAUAAAAGGUACUCCGGGGAUAACAGGCUGAUACCGCCCAAGAGUUCAUAUCGACGGCGGUGUUUGGCACCUCGAUGUCGGCUCAUCACAUCCUGGGGCUGAAGUAGGUCCCAAGGGUAUGGCUGUUCGCCAUUUAAAGUGGUACGCGAGCUGGGUUUAGAACGUCGUGAGACAGUUCGGUCCCUAUCUGCCGUGGGCGCUGGAGAAUUGAGGGGGGCUGCUCCUAGUACGAGAGGACCGGAGUGGACGCAUCACUGGUGUUCGGGUUGUCAUGCCAAUGGCAUUGCCCGGUAGCUAAAUGCGGAAGAGAUAAGUGCUGAAAGCAUCUAAGCACGAAACUUGCCCCGAGAUGAGUUCUCCCUGACUCCUUGAGAGUCCUGAAGGAACGUUGAAGACGACGACGUUGAUAGGCCGGGUGUGUAAGCGCAGCGAUGCGUUGAGCUAACCGGUACUAAUGAACCGUGAGGCUUAACCUU
rnacentral:rRNA from 1 species